rnacentral:rRNA from 1 species
GACGAACGCUGGCGGCGUGCUUAACACAUGCAAGUUGAACGGUAAGGCCCUUUCGGGGGUACACGAGUGGCGAACGGGUGAGUAACACGUGGGUGAUCUGCCCUGCACUUUGGGAUAAGCCUGGGAAACUGGGUCUAAUACCGGAUAGGACUACGCGAUGCAUGUCGUGUGGUGGAAAGCUUUUGCGGUGUGGGAUGGGCCCGCGGCCUAUCAGCUUGUUGGUGGGGUGAUGGCCUACCAAGGCGACGACGGGUAGCCGGCCUGAGAGGGUGUCCGGCCACACUGGGACUGAGAUACGGCCCAGACUCCUACGGGAGGCAGCAGUGGGGAAUAUUGCACAAUGGGCGCAAGCCUGAUGCAGCGACGCCGCGUGGGGGAUGACGGCCUUCGGGUUGUAAACCCCUUUCAGCACAGACGAAGCGUAAGUGACGGUAUGUGCAGAAGAAGCACCGGCCAACUACGUG